rnacentral:rRNA from 1 species
CGCCCAACAGCUAGCCCACCUAAACAACUCCAACAAACCCCUGUUAAUAACCCCUAAAUACCCCCGUAUUUAAAUUAAACAAACCAUUUUUCCCCCUCAGUAUAGGCGAUAGAAAAGGGACCUACGGCGCAACAGAGAAAGUACCGCAAGGGAAUGCUGAAAGAGAAAUGAAACAACCCAGUAAAGCCUAAAAAAGCAGAGAUUUAAACUCGUACCUUUUGCAUCAUGAUUUAGCGAGUGUACCUCAAGCAAAGAGUACUUUAGUUUGACAUCCCGAAACUACGUGAGCUACUCCAAGACAGCCUAAUUAAUAGGGCACACCCGUCUCUGUGGCAAAAGAUGUGGGAAGAGCUUUGAGUAGAGGUGACAAACCUACCGAACCUAGUUAUAGCUGGUUGUCCAAGAAAUGAAUAGAAGUUCAGCCUCUUGGCUUUCUCUUUUCACCCUAGAUUAACCCCUACUGAUGCAUCAAAGAAACCGAAAGAGUUAGUCAAAGGGGGUACAGCCCCUUUGAAUCAAGACACAACUUUACCAGGAGGGUAAAGAUCAUA